rnacentral:snRNA from 1 species
GGAUGUGAGGGCGAUCUGGCUGUGACAUUAGUCACUCGAUUGAUCGCGGUGUUGACUCUGCUGAUCCGGCUGGUGAGGCAGGGGUCCCCUUCCUCCCUCGCUGCUCCAUGGUGUCUCUCCCGAAGCUGUGCCACUGGGUUGAAGAGGAUGACCCCAGAUAGAGGAGGACCAUUUCCUCGGUCAAGGUUAUAUAAGUAGCUGCACUACUCUGCUAGAACCUCCCAACAAGUGCUCAAGGUCCACAUUUAUAGCAGCACAGUUCAUAAUAGCUAAAUCUUGGAAGCAGCCUCUAUGCUCAUCAACAGAU